CCCCGCUUCUCACUCCUCCUCCCCCUCUCCUCACUCCUCCUCCUCUCCCUCCCUUCACUCCUCCUCCCCCUCCCUUCAUUCCUCCUCCCCCUUCUCCCUUCGUGGUCCCAGCCAGUAGCUCAGUUCCAGUGUUUAUUUAUCCAGAGUGAGGGGGUUGGGGAAGGACACAGUGGGAGGAGGUGGCCCUCUCUCCCUCACCCUGCUAUUUCAAAUUGGGUCACACCUUAAAUUGUGUGAAAGUACCUCCUCCUCCUCCUCCUAGGAGGACUGGAUAAUGUAGGAGGACUAUAAAAUGUAGGAGGACUAGAUAAUGUAGGAGGACUAGAUAAUGAAGGAGGACUAGAUAAUGUAGGGGGAUUAGAUAAUGUAGGGGGACUAGAUAAUGUAGGAGGACUAGAUAAUGUAGGAGGACUAGAUAAUGAAGGAGGACUAGGUCAUGAAGAACGACUAAAUAAAGUAGGAGGACUAGAUAAUGAAGAGGGACUAGGUCAAGUAGAAUGACUAAAUCAUGUAGGAGGACUAGAUAAUGUAGGAGGACUAGAUAAUGUAGGAAGACUAGAUAAUGUAGGAGGACUAGAUAAUGAAGAGGGACUAGGUCAAGUAGAAUGACUAAAUAAUGUAGGAGGACUAGAUAAUGAAGAGGGACUAGGUCAAGUAGAAUGACUAAAUAAUGUAGGAGGACUAGAUAAUGAAGAGGGACUAGGUCAAGUAGAAUGACUAAAUAAUGUAGGAGGACUAGAUAAUGAAGAGGGACUAGGUCAAGUAGAAUGACUAAAUAAUGUAGGAGGACUAGAUAAUGAAGGAGGACUAGGUCAAGUAGAAUAACUAAAUAAUGUAGGAGGACUAGAUAAUGUAGGAGGACUAGAUAAUGAAGGAGGACUAGGUCAUGUAGAACGACUAAAUAAAGUAGGAGGACUAGAUAAUGAAGAGGGACUAGGUCAAGUAGAAUGACUAGAUAAUGUAGGAGGACUAGAUAAUGUAGGAGGACUAGAUAAAUGCGGUGGCAACCUCCUAACUGUGUUUCCGGGGCAACAACUCAGGACUGAUGAGCAGCCAACACCCUUACAGUAGGGAUACAGACUGCAUGGCCACAGUGUAUUUGUAUGGCAGGGAGUAUGGAUUUCCCCAAUGCUGUAUACUGUGGAUCAUUUUUCAUUUCAAAUUCAUUAUUAAAGUGAUACUUUGCGAUUUUGGCAAUGAGGCCCUUUAUUUACUUCCCCACAGUCAGAUAAACAUGUGGAUACCAUUUUUAUGUCUCUGUGUCCAGUAUGAAGGAAGUUAGAGGUAGUUUCUUGAGCCGAUGUUAACUAGUGUUAGCGCAAUGACUGGAAGUCUAUGGGUAUCUACUAGCAUGCUAGCAAAUACCCAUAGACUUCCAGUAACUGUGCUAAUGCUAGGGAGCAUUGGCUGGCAAACCUAACUUCCUGGUAUUUUUUGCUCAGAAAACUUGGGGAGGCCAAAUAAAAACACCCGCAGCUGCCAGUUGGGGAACCCUGCCGGCAGGGUAGCCUAGUGGUUAAAGCGUUGGACUAGUAACCGAAAGGCUGCAAGUUCAAAUCCCCGAGCUGACAAGGUACAAAUCUGUCGUUCUGCUCCUGAACAAGCAGUGAACCCACUGUUCCUAGGCCGAAAAUAAGAAUUUGUUCUUAACUGACUUGCCUCGUUAAAUAAAGGUAAAAAUAAAAUAAAAAAUAAUAUACUAUAUAUUUCCAUAUUCAUCACAGGCAUCCUCUAUAAUGUGUUAUCCUGUGAGGAAUAGACCAGAUCAAAGUCAGCAGAGUACAUUCAUCACAAGUAGAGACAUAUAGCAUGCAACGGGGACAGCCCAGUAAUUGCAUUCAGGGGAUCAUAAAAUUGCAUGAAUUGCAUCAUCCUUGCUAUGAUGAGGCGGGGAGAGAUGCAUUGUGCUCCGGGUUUGGAUGUGCGGCUCGUUCCAUUGCAGGCUGAGUUAAUUAAAAAUCAACAGGGCAUUGUGAUGCAUCAACCCUACUGGACACAGGCGAGAGAGCAGGGGGAUUUCAGGCCUGGUUGAAAGUACUGCACUACCUAGGGAAUGUGGGACCAUUGAGAACGUAGGCUUGGUGUUUUGAUACGGAUGCCUACUCCCCCGCCCACUUGGUGAGACCUCAUUCAUUACCAACGCUCUCAUCUGUUUAAAGAAGGUGGACACACCCCAAGUUUAUGGUGGUUUACUCUGAGGAUUAUUUGAAGAGGGAAAGCUAAAAUAGAAUGUGUUUCUUUACUUGUUCAACAGUGGAGUCAUCUCCGCAGGAUGGAAAUAUAUUCCACACCACACAGGACCAUUGAAAACAAGCAGGCAUGGAGUGGACGACAUUGAUUAUUAUGGUCAUAUUUAUCCAAUCAAUACUCUCCGGAAGGAAGCUUCCCGUACGUAUUGUAAAGCUCUAAGAUCAGCUUCCCCUUCCCCAAUCCUAACCUUAAUCAUUAGUGGGAUUCAGCGCCUUGGGGCAAAUUCACCAUACUUCAACCAAUAAGGAUGUAUUGUUACUGCUCAUUGCGGUACUAUGUGGAUUAUCAUAUGAUACCCAUCCAAACCAAAGCAUACAUGUCUUUUACUAAAACCUUCUUUUUCUUCAACAACAAAAAGUAGAUGAAUAAAAGACUAGUCAUUUACCAUGCAUGCAGUGUUAGCCAGUUAUACAUCAAUGAGUCUAUAUCCCACGUAAACCACUGAAAUGUAUAUUUUGCCUGCAUAUAAAUAAAUGCAUUUCUAGUCAUUGACCAUACAGGGUGAGCCAUUUAUAGAUACAUUUAAUAUAUAUCCUAAAUAUACUGUAUCAAGUUGGUGUUUUCCAUUUUCGUUCAGGAUAUGCAGAGAGUCGGGCAGGCCUAAUGAGUUAGCUGGUGUCCCUCCUUUUCAGGAUAUGCAGAGAGUCGGCAGGCCUAAUGAGUUAGCUGGUGUCCCUCCUUUUCAGGAUAUGCAGAGAGUCGGGCAGGCCUAAUGAGUUAGCUGGUGUCCCUCCUUUUCAGGAUAUGCAGAGAGUCGGGCAGGCCUAAUGAGUUAGCUGGUGUCCCUCCUUUUCAGGAUAUGCAGAGAGUCGGGCAGGCCUAAUGAGUUAGCUGGUGUCCCUCCUUUUCAGGAUAUGCAGAGAGUCGGGCAGGCCUAAUGAGUUAGCUGGUGUCCCUCCUUUUCAGGAUAUGCAGAGAGUCGGGCAGGCCUAAUGAGUUAGCUGGUGUCCCUCCUUUUCAGGAUAUGCAGAGAGUCGGGCAGGCCUAAUGAGUUAGCUGGUGUUCCUCCUUUUCAGGAUAUGCAGAGUCGGGCAGGCCUAAUGAGUUAGCUGGUGUCCCUCCUUUUCAGGAUAUGCAGAGAGUCGGGCAGGCCUAAUGAGUUAGCUGGUGUCCCUCCUUUUCAGGAUAUGCAGAGAGUCGGGCAGGCCUAAUGAGUUAGCUGGUGUUCCUCCUUUUCAGGAUAUGCAGAGAGUCGG